rnacentral:rRNA from 3 species
UUGACCUCGGAUCAGGUAGGGAUACCCGCUGAACUA